UACGGAGGGUGCGAGCGUUGUCCGGAAUCACUGGGCGUAAAGGGCGCGUAGGCGGCUGGGGAAGUCGGCGGUGAAAGCCCGGAGCUCAACUCCGGGUCGGCCGUCGAGACUCCUCGGCUCGAGCUCACUAGAGGCAGAUGGAAUUCCGGGUGUAGCGGUGGAAUGCGUAGAUAUCGUUUGGAACGCCAAUGGUGAAAACAGCUUGCUGGGGGUGUGCUGACGCUGAGACACGAAAGCCAGGGGAGCAAACAGG
rnacentral:rRNA from 1 species